AGCAGCCGCGGUAAUUCCAGCUCCAAUAGCGUAUAUUAAAGUUGCUGCAGUUAAAAAGCUCGUAGUUGAAUUUCGGGACCAUCAUGUCGGUCGUGCCUCGGUACGUACUGGCAUUAUUGGUUUCUACCUUCUGAAGAACCCCGAUGUCAUUAAUUUGGUGUCUUGGGGAAUCAGGACUGUUACCUUGAAAAAAUUAGAGUGUUUAAAGCAGGCUCGCGCUUGAAUACAUUAGCAUGGAAUAAUGAAAUAGGACGUUUGAUUCUAUUUUGUUGGUUUCUAGGAUCGACGUAAUGAUUAAUAGGGAUAGUUGGGGGCAUUAGUAUUCAAUUGUCAGAGGUGAAAUUCUUGGAUUUAUUGAAGACUAACUACUGCGAAAGCAUUUGCCAAGGAUGUUUUCAUUAAUCAAGAACGAAAGUUAGGGAUCGAAGACGAUCAGAUACCGUCGUAGUC
rnacentral:rRNA from 1 species